CGUAGUUGGAUUUCUGGUGGGGGUGUUUGGCCGGCUCAAUGAGUUUUGCGCCUAUACGUCUCCGCCAUCCUUGGGGAAAACUUGCUUGGCAUUAGGUUGUCGAGUUUGGGAUCCCCAUCGUUUACUGUGAAAAAAUUAGAGUGUUCAAAGCAGGCUUAUGCCGUUGAAUAUAUUAGCAUGGAAUAAUAAGAUAGGACUUCGGAACUAUUUUGUUGGUUUGCGUUACGAAGUAAUGA
rnacentral:rRNA from 1 species